UUUGAAUGCAGAAAAAAGGACGUCGCAUCGCCCUGAAUACAUAAAUUUUGAAAUGGAAAUUCACCAGACAAGAGACAAGAAACGAGACCGACUGCUGUUUUUAAUCGUUCGCCAGUUCAGUUUCCACAUUGAUGGCAUCGUUUGAAUCCCGAAAUGUCGACUCGACCCAACUUGUUCCAGCUCCAUCCGUUAUUUGUAUAAUACACUGUUGCAUUCUCCACUUUUAGACAACUCCUACGCAUUUUGGGUUCACGGCAUUCCUAACCGAUUUCUACCGCCAACCCCCCAGCAGUUGAGAGUUCUUCAGACGGUUUCUUGAGCUUUUCUCGUUCACUCGUUCCGGAUGGAAAAACAAAAAGGGAAAACAAGAUCUCGGUGGCAUGAGGGACGAAACAAACGACGUACGGCACUUGAAAGAGCGUGGGCAGAGAUACCGAGAAAAUCUCCAGAAAGGGCAACUCGAGGGAGACUACUAAUCGGACUCGACUGUUGUGCAAACGGCUAAAUAAUACGACAGCGCUAAUGGCGGGAGUUCAAAAAACAAAACAUAUCGCCCAAACUUUCGAUGGCGAGAUGGGGGACGAAAAAGAUCAAAUUAUCGAGGUACUUUCUCAUCUCUUCGUUACAUGUUGCAAACAGGAAACAAUCGAACCGGAAGCCGACGUGGCGGACGUGAUGGAAUAUGUA